rnacentral:sRNA from 2 species
AUAACCAUUAACUUAAACACACACAUACAUCGACACAUAGCUCGGGGUGCUCGAUGCAGCGAUAAGACGUUAGCUGCGGAUGAGUCGAACUAUGGGAUGUAUGGAGGCAUAACC